CUGCUUCCAAGUUUCAUCUUUCAAAAUUUGCCUGCCCCUGUUCACUCUACAUAGCCUUCAGGGAUAUCGGCACCCACUGAGAAUCUCAGCCUGUGACUUCUAGAAGUGGGGAAAAUGGUAGAUUACCUCAGUUGUUUGAAGCAAUUUCG